CCCACCCCCUUUAAUUCUCCAUCCCAGCUACAUCUGAUUGCUCAUUAUUUGUUACAGAUGAGAGGAUGAUGAGGGCUCAGGAAUUUGCCCAAGAUCGGCUACUAAGCAGAAGCCGUGGCUCCAUCCCAGGGCUGAUGGUUCUCCGAGGAUUUUGUCCUGUUCUCAGCAUCCAGACCUAUUGCCUGGAACUGAACGGGAGGAAGGAUGUCUGUUCCCCUUCGGGACCCACACCCGAGGAAUGCCCGUGUGCACAGCAGGCUGCAGGGUGCUCGAUUGGAGGCCCUAAUGUGAAUGGAGCCUAGCCUGCUCGUAGAGACCUUGGCAGUGACCGCCGUGGGCAAUGAGCCAUGGGCCAACAAUAAGUGAACUAAUCAAAUGAAAGAGACUCUGUGAGCUGAAGAUGGUGGCGUUGUGACUCAAGUCUCAUGAGUGAUCCAGUUACAAAGAGCUACAGCCUACAGAAGUAUCCAGACAAUGAAAUGUAAUUUCAUAUUCAAGAUCUCCUAGGAAGAUUCAAUACCCUGCACCUGGCAGUUCCUGCUCUGUAGGCUAGGAUGAAGAGUCUCGUGUAAGCACAGUGGUUCAUGGUGUGUUGAAUGAUUUGUGCCAUCCAUGAGUUCACCUCAGAUGGAAGAACGACAAUUGCCAACGGACAUAAAAUAAAAGUUCGUGCAUGAUUUCACCAAGGGGGUGCAGCCACUCCAACUGAAUCAUCCUGGAAUGCCAAAGGUCUUGGCUUUUACCUCUGUGGGUAAGGAAAGAAGAAAUUUAUAAUGGUGACAGGCAGCCUUCUUACUCAGCUCUUCCAAGAAACAAAAUCUUGGCUGUUAGUUCUGCAUGUAAGGACAGAGAGAACAAUGACCCCUGAUUUAAUUAUUUAAUUUGGAGCCAUUAUCCUGAGUAAGGAGCAUAGUCGAGAAUAAAGAAUGAGGAUGGCUGGUACGGCUCCAUCAUUGCAUUUUGGGGAAGAUCUUGCCUGUUCACUGCUAGAUAAGGGGAAGACACUGAACACAGAAUGGAGACCAUCGCUGACUGGAUUUCUCUCUGAGAAGAGGCGUUUCCUAUUGCUGUUGUGGCACGCAUCCUCAGAACCAGUCUCCAGUCUGCUUCACACAUGGGGCACUGCCCCUACACUUCUCACCUGUCCUCCUGCUCACCUGAAGACCCAAGAGCCACAAUGGACUCACAAUGCCUGAAUUAGUCAGUGUCCAAUGACACAGGUUCUAAGGAUUUCUGCUGUGGACAUCCAAUGGCUCCUGUCUGAAUUUAAACACAGGCCCAUGCUCAUAUACUCUAUACCUACCUUCUAUGUUCACAUGAAGCCACAAGACCUGUGUGAGUAAUAUUCCAAAUUAUUGCUUUGGUCAUUUCCAUGCUCUAUGUUACUAUAGAGUAUAAAAUGUAUCCAGCCAAGGAUACCAGUCACUGUGUAGGACAAAAUGAAAUCAUUAUUUCCCAUUUGAACUGUUAAUGAAUGUAUGUAUUCAUCAACAUGCAUUUUGUUACUGGAGAAGAGGAAGUGUAAAAUGGGCCGAUGAUGACAGGGGUUUCGGGGUUAUAAGUCACUGACGAUGACUACAUCACUGGAGGUCUGAGGUCCAUAGCGUAAGAUGUCUCAAAAACCCCUCACAUGGUGCGCUUAAAUGUUGGGCACGUGCAAUAUAUAUUAGGGAUUAGAGUCACAAACUCUCAUCAUUUUAUAGUUGACCAUUGAAUCAUGACAUAAAUAAACACCCAAAUGCAGAUAAGUUAUUUAGGGCAUUGAGCAAUUAUGAAAACAAAUAUUUGACCACAUAUUAAGAUACAGCAAAAAUCUAUUUAGAGUGAAUUAGCUUAAAAUCACCUUUAUCCGAGGUGAUCUAUACAGUAAAAUUAAUGGCUUAAGUCUUUGUGAUGGUCAAAGCCUUGAUUUUAAACACUACUUUAUUUCGUAAGAAAACUAUUACAACAAUUUGAAUCUUAAACAACGAAAGGAAAAAUGUCACAAUAAUUGGACACAUUCUUUAUUAUCUUUGCUGCUUUGUACUCCCUGGAUGGAUGCUGAUUAACACAUCAUUUCCUGGAUGAGAGGUCCAUGGCUGCGCUAUCUCUCUGUGUAAGGAGUUCAGCAACUAAUAAUGGAUACCCCCAAGCUGAUGGACACAUUCCUCCUUAGUCCUGAGGUUUGAGAGACACUGUUUGUGUAUGCAGGAUAGAGACUGUAAAAGAUGCCCCGCAAGCUGAUUUCGUACAGUCUCACUUGGAAAUGAACCUCGCGAUCUAGCCUUUGUGUUUGUAGGAUAGAUAUUGUAAUGGAUCCCCCCCAAGUUGAUUUACAUGUCCUGUCUUCAUUAUAAGCUUCAUGAUCAGUUCCUUGGAUUCAUAAUAUAGACACUCUAAUGGAUAACCCCAAGCUGACCUAUGCAUUCUCCCUUGAUCUGAGCUUCACAGUCUGCUCGCUGUGUUUGUAGAAUUGAUUCCAUAUAAUUAAUGGUGUGCAAUAAAAAGGACACUAAUCAUGGCAAAAAAAAAAAAAUCCUUGGAAAUCUUCAGUGUAUUCAAGGAUCUUCUCCUUGGAUCUUUAGUGGAUAGCCUUCACCUGCUGUGUGUAUUCUUCCUUGGCUGUGAGAGUCCUAAGAUAGACACAGUUGUGUGUAGUCAGUGUUCAUUCCAUGGUUUUGGUUACUUUGAAUGACUAUACACAACUCUUGUUGAAAUGCUACUCGUCCUCUGGAAGACCCACCUUGCUCAAAUGAAUGGACCCCCUCCCCCAGGCUGAUUUUCACACUGGCUUUGGUUGUGAUCUUCUUGAUCAGCUGCUUGUGUUUGUAGUGUAGACACAGUGAUGGAUACCCCCAUGUGAUUUGCACAUUCUCCAUUGGUCCUGUGCUUUGUGAUCAGCACUUGGGUUCAUAGUAUGUAGAUACAGUAGUGGAUAUUCCCAAGCUUGUUUCCCACAUUCUCACCAUGAGCUUUGUGAUCCAAUGUUUGUACUCAUAGGAACACAGAAAUGAAAAACUCCAAGACGAAUUCCACAAUCUCCAUUGUUCCUGAGUUCACAAUGUAAUGGAGACACAGUGAAGGCCAACUCCAGAUCAUGGAUGGAUCCUGACUCAUCCUCAGCUCUAAGGCUGCCUGUGUUGUUAAGGUCACAGCUACACCUGGCUCAGGGAACUCUAUGGAAGAGGAGGUGGAAAGAUUGUAAGAGCCAAUGGAAAUGGAAGACACCAAAGAGACAAGGCCUUCUAGCCACAACAGGACUGGUGCAGAAAUCAAGUCAUAGAGACUGUGGCAACAUGCACAGGCCGUGCACAGCUCUAAGCCAGAUGGGGUCCUGGCACUGUGAGGGGAAGUGGACACAACCCCCUAUCUAUAACCCAGAAACUACCUUCACUUGAUAAACUCUCUCAAAGCAAAGACUAGUUUUUUCCAAUGGAGUACCACCGGACAUAUAAACCAGGACAUAUAAAGCACGCUCCAUGGUCCCGAUGGCCAGCACAAAAUGAACUCAAUGGCAUUUUUGGAGAUUUUCGAGACUCACAAUGCUUUGAGUAUUUUUUUUUACCCUACUGAUAUUUUGCUCAUAUAUUAUGGUUUCUGAUGGCUUUUUCUCUGUAUGUGACUCAGCUUAUGGAUGUGUUCCUUGUGAUUUUUCCUUUGGCUCUAUUUCUUAUUUUGCUUUGUUUGCUUUGAUUUCUCUUCAUUAUUUGAGAUGUUUUUAUUCUAAUGUAAGAAUGAAAGAGUAGGUGUGGUGGGUGGAGAAAUGGGUAGAAUGUCAAAGGCUAAAUUGUAAUACAAUUAGUUUGUACAGAAUUUUAAUAAAAAUGGGUUUCCUCUA